GGGAUAGCUCAGUUGGUAGAGCAUAAGAUUCUUAAUCUCAAGGUCAUGGGUUUGAGCCCAUUUGAAAUG